UUCGCUGCUAAUUUUGGUGAACUACACGGGCCAAGCCCUACAAUUCGGCCUUUUUAUUUUCUGGGCCAAGGCCUUUUUGUACCAGCAGUUUUAGUUUUCUUUCUUUUUAUAAAAUGGGUCCAUUAGUCAAACAAGUCCCACUUGUCAGGUUCUGAUAAAUGGGUCCCAGCUAUUAGGCUCAGAUUCUUCAUAUUUCAAUUUGACAUCAUAUUUGAAUUUCAUAGUAAGAAAACAACCAGUAUUUAAAUAGGCAAGCAGAAAACACACAUAAUAAUUCAAAUAACAAUAGCCAGAUUCACUACAAGCUCUACAAAUGACACGUAAUACAAGCUCAACAUAUACAAUGCUUUACAAGCUCUACAAAUGCAAAGCUCUACAGUACUUUACAAGCUCUCCAAGUAAUGUUACAAGCUCUACAAGUGUUUUCUUCUUCAACAUGGAGCUCCUUCGAUAGAGAUCAAAUGCCACACUCACUGGACUGGGCUAACAGAACGACUGCAUGCCCUCCAUGAUCGCCCUGUUACAUGAAUCAGCUAAGAAGAAUUAGAAAAACUAGAGUAAAAUGGAGUAAAGGACAAUUCAUUAUAGAAUGAUAAACACACAAAGCUCUAUCCAUAGUACCAGCAAUGAAUAACAAGAACAACUCCAGAUUAUUAGCUGAUUCAUUAUAGAAUAAUAUAGAACAAGCUCCUAGUUUGGAGUGAACAGUGGAUAAAAUCAUGCAACAGCAAUGGAACAAUCAUGCACACAUUAUAAUAAAAUGGAUAGAACAAUAAAAUGGAUAUAACAAUAACAAGAACAACUCCAGAUUACACACAAAGCUCUAUCCAUAGUACCAGCAAUGGAUAAAAUCAUGCACACAGUAUAAUUCUGACUAUAAUAUAACCAGAGAACUAAAGAUUCUACAUACUUUGAACUCAUCAACUAAUAAGUGAGAAUGAUCUAAUUGUAUGCAAACAAUCUUUUUUUAUUUGUUUAUAUUACUGAAAUAGACAUCUUCCUUUAUGUGAAGUCUGCUUCCUUCUUUAGUUAGUAGUAAUCGUUCCAUGCAAAUCAACCGUGUGUGUAUGCUUGAGCAUGGUCUGGAGAUUACAUGCAUAGAGGAACAGAAUCCUAAACAAAAUAGCAUCAAAUAGUGGUGGGUGCUCAACUUAUUUACCAUACACUAGCAACACUUAAACCAUAGCAUGUGCAUAUACUUGUGUCACAUUAGGGGGUUCAGAAUGUACACAGUAUAUUCUAAUAAAAAGGAUUGGGAGCAGAGGGAGAGGGAGGUGGAUAUGGACAUGCUACCUGCUGCUGCAGUGGUGCCUCUUGGUGGUCGUGCUUGAGCUCCUCCUGAUGCUGCGUGAAUCCAAGUGGCUCUCAAGCAAAAUCUCCAGCGAAACUACAAUGCAACGUAUAGUAAGUAGCAACAAUGUCUGCGAUGUCUGCAAUGAACUUUUGAGCAGCUACAGCAACCAGCCUUGUUCCGCAGACCACAAAAUUAGGAAAUAGAUUUAAAAACAUGUCAUUCAUGUGGACCAAUAAUCACUGAGUUGGAGGGGAAACUGCAGUUUCUCUCAGGCUGGAACUACAACGUGCUAAAA
rnacentral:lncRNA from 1 species